GGAAGCGUGCCUGAGCCACAAGGACUACUUUGAUAAAGUACUUACGGAACAACUAAUAUUCCCACUUCCC
rnacentral:tRNA from 1 species